rnacentral:lncRNA from 1 species
UGUGAAUUUUUUUUUGUGAAAAUCUUUUCCAAAAUUUUCAAAACAGAGCUACUUUUUUUUAUUAUUUUUUUGAAAAUUUCAGUCCGUUAACCGGUUAACGGAAUAGGUUAACCGGUUAACGCCUCCCAGAAAGCAGUUCUGCGCUAAUUUUAAAAGACAAAAUAUUUAAAGUUUUUAAUUUUAAAUUAUGGUAUGCGUGUAUGCUUGUAUGCUUU